rnacentral:rRNA from 1 species
AUUCCUACGGGAGGCAGCAGUGGGGAAUUUUGGACAAUGGGGGAAACCCUGAUCCAGCAAUGCCGCGUGAGUGAAGAAGGCCUUCGGGUUGUAAAGCUCUUUUGUCAGGGAAGAAACACCGGCUCUAACACAGUCCGGGAAUGACGGUACCUGAAGAAUAAGCACCGGCUAACUACGUGCCAGCAGCCGCGGUAAU